UCUCAAAAAUGUGAUUAGUUUUCUUUUUAAAUGGGCUGUUUGUCUUUUCACUUUUAAUUAAAAGGCACAGUGACUGAAGAUGUCUGAUGUCGAUGAGGGUUUCAUCUGUACAUGGCUCCUGCUUCAUCAGCAUCCAGCUCUAACUCUCCUGACCAUGUGGCAACAACUUAGAUAUUGGACAUCUUUGCCAAAUGCCUGCAUGAGGUGGCUGUAUGUGGCAGAGCAAGUGGUCUUUGGCUAUGAAGACUUUGGGGAUCUUUUGGCACAAAAGGAAAAAUAUCCCGACUUUUGCAUGAUGGGAUAGCCAUUUCCAGCUCAGCUGUAGUAGCCAGCAGAAGAAACUCUACGCAACUGGAGACCAAGCUCAGUAACCAUGAAUAACGAGAGCCUGAAGAUCAUUCUCAAUCCCAGGCUUCAUACAGACCAAUACAAGGCACUGUUGCAAUACCAUUCCAGUUAAGUUUCUGCCUUACUUUUAAUUAUUCAUUACCAGUCAGAAUUCCUGUAGCUUUCUUAGCAGUUAUGUAUUCCAGAAGCCAAACAAAGAAUAACAAUGAAAGAAUUUGAAUCCAUUAUUUUAGCUAAAUAAUUCUAAAUGCCUCAUUCUAAAUUUUAUUUAAAAAUGAAUAUGUGAAUGCAAAGUAUUUUUUUUUGUUCAAUUAAGUUAUCACAUAUAUAUUGUGGGUAAGUCAGAUAUUUGCAAAAGUUUUUUCUUAAAAGUUGGAGAAUAGGGCAAGUUUAAAUAUUCACAGAUGUGAAAAUGAGCAUCUAAGCAUUUCAUUCCUCUACUGGGUAAAACAGAGCAGCUGAAUUUUCAUGUCUCUGGAGGGAGCAUGUACCCAGAUUUCAUUAUUCACAGGAGUCUUAUAUGAUUCCUCAGACACUGCAAUGAAAAAUAUAUUCCCAGUUGUAUUUCUUGUUAAAAAAUAUUUGUUAAAUGGAGGUUAUUUACCUGUAAGUGAGGGUACCCUCUCUGUAUUCCACACAUGGGUACAUAUGUGCCGCAUGUGCCUGAGACCAGAGAUUUCUAGCAAGUAGUAUCUAUUGGUCUGCAGUUUCUCCCCUCAUGCUGUGUACCAUAGGUAUAAAGUGGCAGUGUAGACCAAUGCCUCUCCAGUUACUCCUCUUAUCCCAAAGCAGAGGAGAAGAAGGGCAGAUAGUGGACUACAGAUCGGGACCACAAAUCUCAAAAAACCUCCAGUUCUUGGUAAGCAACUUCCACGUCUUCUCCAAGUGCAGGUUUCUAUGUGUAUUCAAACAGAAGUGGGGUGGAAGAAGGCAGUUGGUAUAGAUGUCUGUAAUACUGCUGUCCCAACAGCUGCAUCUGUAGAUGAGGUCUGGACUAAGGUGCAGUGUUUCAUGAAAGUAUGGCUGGAACUCCAGGUCUUAAAAAUGUCCAGAUAUUUUUGAAAGAAGAGAUGCUAUUGAGGUUGCCUGUGGUCUAGUGGAAUGGGCCCUCACCCCUCCAGGGAAGGAAUACACACCAACUAAUAAAGCAUGAUACAGCUGGAGAUCCA
rnacentral:lncRNA from 1 species